CCGUGUAUUUCUGCAUAAUGGACUGCUAUGAUGUGUUGUAUUACAGUUUAUGUUUAAUGAAAUUAUAAGAAUUUCAUUGAGAGAGAGAGAAUCAGUCACGAACACCAACUAGAAUAGCACCAAAAAUCCAAAUUGCAGACCAAGUGUCUGAUGUCUCCAUGGUCAGAGACUUUGACACAAUUGUACUCUAGAAGGUCAUUCACUAUUAUCUAUAGAGCAAUUUGAGCACAAUCUUCUACAGGCCACAAUGUUGCAGACCAAUACCUGUGAAGAUCCUAACUAAUGUGCAUUACUAAAGCAAUCAUUAUUCUAUGCCUCAUCUCCGGGAAAUUUACGUUCCCUUAGCUAGCAUGAAAGAGAUAGAAUAUGUUCUACCAAGCAACAAAACCACAUUUGAUCUAAUACAGCUAAGAUAGGGAAAAAUACUGAAUAUUGUGCAGAGGCCUUGAGGGGUAUGCCUUUGGAAGAGUAUAAGGAAGGUUGGGAUACUUUUCACCGUUUUGUUAGCUUGAAGGUGGGGGAUAGAUCUUCUAUCAGAUUCUAGCUUGAUUAAAGGGGAAUUUCCCUAAGUUGUAUGGCAUGGCACAUAAUAAAGAGGCAUCAGUGGCAGAGUUAAUUUCCUUCUCUUUGGAUAGCUAUCAUUGGAACAUUAGCUUUACUCGGUUGGGUCAAGACUGGGAGUUAGAGUCUAUUGCUUCCUUUAUGGAUUUACUUUAUUCUAGAGUGUGGAAAGGGGACGGGGUGGAUAAGUUAUGCUGGAAACUGUCUUCUGUGGGAGUUUAUGAUGUGCGAUCUUACUACAAAGACUUACAAACCCCUUCUCAUAUGUCUUUUCCUUGGAAGACGGUGUGGAAACCAAACUUGCCAACAAAGAUUAGUUUCUUCAUUUGGACGGCGGCAUUGGGUCGUAUUUUUACAAAUUACAGUUUGCAAAAAUGUUGGCUUGUUGUUAUUAACUGGUGCUGUAUGUGUAAAAGGGCAGGGGAGACUACUAAUCACUUACUUUUAUGUUGCCCGGCAGCUAGAGAGUUGUGGUGCGUGGUGUUCACUCUUUUUGGGGUACAUUUGGUUAUGCCCAGUGGUGUAAUGGAGCUUUUAUCUAGCUGACUGGGUAAGUUCAGCAAACAUAGAAAUGGGGUUGUUUGGAACAUUAUUCCUCAUUGUUUAAUGUGUGGCAUUUGGCGGGAGAGGAAUGCUCGGAUUUUUGAAGGAACUGAAAGUUCAACUCAAGACUUGAAACUAGCUUUUUUCCAUACUUUGCUUGGGUGGACAACGGCUUCAGGUGUUUCCACUUUUAGCUUAUAGCACACUAUAAGAGAAAUGCAUAAUAUGCCAUGUCUGCUAAUUAGAGAAUGAGACUGUAAUUCAUGAAUUAAUAAAAUGCCCAAUUGCAGAAGCUGUUUGGAAUAUAGGGAAUCUGUCGCUACUGGAUGGCCAGAUGGAGGAUUUUACUGACCUUGCUGUGCAGAUUAUGAAUUCAAAUUCUUCAAUUCAGAGGCAGUGGGAUCUUUCUUAUGUAUAGCUAGGGCACUAUGGAAAAACAUGAACAGCAUAGUUCAUGAGGAUGGAAGUGGUUUACCACAGCAGCUACAUAGUGAAGCGCAAGUGUUAUUGUGUGGAUUAUGUCCUAUGCUAACGCAGGCCCAACCUUUCAGUAUCAAUCAGGGAUGUUCUUGGAAGCCCCCUCCCUUGGAUUGGUAAAAGGUAAAUAUUGAUGGUGCUUUAUAUGAACAUGAUCAAUAUUCUGGUAUUGUACUGGUAUCAUUGUUCGACUCCAAAGGAGAUUUCAUGGUAGCUAUGUGUAAUAGAAUUAAUGGGGUUUUGCAAGUACCAGAAAUUGAAGCUCAGGCAUUGGAAACAGGAAUGUUGUUCAAUUAUUAUAUGGGUUUUCGUCGUAUCAUGAUGGAAGGUGAUUGCAUUUGCACAGUGAGGUUUUCUCAGCUGUAAAGAAUUUUGGAAUGUAGGAGCAAGCUACAGCCAUCUGGUUCAAGGAAUUCAUAAAAAAUAAAUAAAUAAAAAACAGCAGGUUUUUCGGAAUUUUCUUUCAACCUGACACAAAGGGAGGCUAACCAAGCAACACGCCUAAUAGCCAAGCACAUACAGUAUGGAAAUAGGGAGAAAGUAUGGCCUGAAGACACACCACCUUAUAUUGAUCCACAGAUUUAUCAUGAUAAAGCUCCGUGUAUUUCUGCAUAAUGGACUGCUAUGAUGUGUUGUAUUACAGUUUAUGUUUAAUGAAAUUAUAAGAAUUUCAUUGAGAGAGAGAGAGAGAGAGAGAGAGAGAGAGAAUCAGUCACGAACACCAACUAGAAUAGCACCAAAAAUCCAAAUUGCAGACCAAGUGUUUGAUGUCUCCAUGGUCAGAGACUUUGACACAAUUGUACUCUAGAAGGUCAUUCACUAUUAUCUAUGGAGCAAUUUGAGCACAAUCUUCUACAGGCCACAAUGUUGCAGACCAAUGCCUGUAAAGAUCCUAACUAAUGUGCAUUACUAAAGCAAUCAUUAUUCUAUGCCUCAUCUCCGGGAAAUUUACGUUCCCUUAGCUAGCAUGAAAGAGACAGAAUAUGUUCUACCAAGCAACAAAACCACGUUUGAUCUAAUACAGCUAAGAUAGGGAAAAAUACUGAAUAUUGUGCAGAGGCCUUGAGGGGUAUGCCUUUGGAAGAGUAUAAGGAAGGUUGGGAUACUUUUCACCGUUUUGUUAGCUUGAAGGUGGGGGAUAGAUCUUCUAUCAGAUUCUAGCUUGAUUAAAGGGGAAUUUCCCUAAGUUGUAUGGCAUGGCACAUAAUAAAGAGGCGUCAGUGGCAGAGUUAAUUUCCUUCUCUUUGGAUAGCUAUCAUUGGAACAUUAGCUUUACUCGGUUGGGUCAAGACUGGGAGUUAGAGUCUAUUGCUUCCUUUAUGGAUUUACUUUAUUCUAGAGUGUGGAAAGGGGACGGGGUGGAUAAGUUAUGCUGGAAACUGUCUUCUGUAGGAGUUUAUGAUGUGUGAUCUUACUACAAAGUCUUACAACCCCCUUCUCAUAUGUCUUUUCCUUGGAAGACGGUGUGUAAACCAAACUUGUCAACAAAGAUUAGUUUCUUCAUUUGGACGGCGGCAUUGGGUCUUAUUUUAACAAAUGAAAAUUUGCAAAAACGUUGGCUUGUUGUUAUUAACUGGUGCUGUAUGUGUAAGAGGGCUGGGGAGACUACCAAUCACUUACUUUUAUGUUGCCCGGCAGCUAGAGAGUUGUGUGCAUGGUUUUCACUCUUUUUGGGGUACAUUUGGUUAUGCCCAAUGGUGUAAUGGAGCUUUUAUCUAGCUGACCGGGUAAGUUCAGCAAACAUAGAAAUGGGGUUGUUUGGAACAUUAUUCCUAGCGGGAGAGGAAUGCUCGUAUUUUUGAAGGAACUGAAAGUUCAAUUCAAGACCUGAAACUAGCUUUUUUCCAUACUUUGCUUGGGUGGACAACGGCUUCAGCUACAGUGCCAAUCUUGAACUCAAUGGAGCUCUUUCCCAAAAGUUCUCUAAAGCAAUUGGCAAAAAUGAGGACGACUCUGAAAACCC